UACGUAGGUGGCGAGCGUUGUCCGGGUUUACUGGGCGUAAAGGGAGCGUAGGCGGACUUUUAAGUGAGAUGUGAAAUACUCGGGCUCAACUUGAGUGCUGCAUUUCAAACUGGAAGUCUAGAGUGCGGGAGAGGAGAAUGGAAUUCCUAGUGUAGCGGUGAAAUGCGUAGAGAUUAGGAAGAACACCAGUGGCGAAGGCGAUUCUCUGGACUGUAACUGACGCUGAGGCUCGAAAGCGUGGGGAGCAAACAGG
rnacentral:rRNA from 1 species